CGCUGUUUUUCUCCGCGGUGAUACUCCAAAGAAAGUCGUUAUCACCGGGUGAAAACUGGUAGA
rnacentral:pre_miRNA from 1 species